CCCAUCGAGGGGCGCUGCGACGGUACGCUUGGGCGUUCCUGCCAGGCUCGAUGGGGUGGAUCUUCCGAUCUGCAACGGCGCCCGUUCAUC
rnacentral:ncRNA from 2 species